CCUACGGGCGGCUGCAGUGAGGAAUAUUGGUCAAUGGGCGGAAGCCUGAACCAGCCAUGCCGCGUGAAGGAUGAAGGCGUUCUGCGUUGUAAACUUCUUUUAUUGGGGAAGAAACCUGUGAUUUCUAUUACAGCCGACGGUACCCAAGGAAUAAGCACCGGCUAACUCCGUGCCAGCAGCCGCGGUAAUACGGAGGGUGCAAGCGUUAUCCGGAUUUACUGGGUUUAAAGGGUGUGUAGGCGGACUAUUAAGUCAGCGGUGAAAUCUCCGGGCUC
rnacentral:rRNA from 1 species